rnacentral:rRNA from 1 species
AACGUAGGACGCAAGCGUUAUCCGGAGUUACUGGGCGUAAAGCGUGCGCAGGCGGCGCGUUAAGACAGGUGUGAAAGCCCCGAGCUUAACUUGGGAAUUGCGCUUGUGACUGGCGUGCUGGAGUGUGGCAGAGGGAGGUGGAAUUCCACGUGUAGCAGUGAAAUGCGUAGAGAUGUGGAGGAACACCGAUGGCGAAGGCAGCCUCCUGGGCCAGCACUGACGCUCAUGCACGAAAGCGUGGGGAGCAAACAGG